rnacentral:piRNA from 1 species
UAACGUACGUAUGUUUGAAAUGUG